GGUCCCGUAGCUCAAUGGAUAGAGCAACUGCCUUCUAAGCAGUAGGUUACUGGUUCGACCCCAGUCGGGAUCGCCA
rnacentral:tRNA from 1 species